rnacentral:rRNA from 1 species
UAGAGUGCGAGAGAGGAGAGUAGAAUUUCUGGUGUAGCGGUGAAAUGCGUAGAUAUCAGAAGGAAUACCAAUGGCGAAGGCAGCUCUCUGGCUCGUCACUGACGCUGAGGUGCGAAAGCGUGGGUAGCAAACAGGAUUAGAUACCCUGGUAGUCCACGCCGUAAACGAUGACAACUAGCCGUUGGGCAGAUUUAACUGUUCAGUGGCACAGCUAACGCAUUAAGUUGUCCGCCUGGGGAGUACGGCCGCAAGGCUAAAACUCAAAUGAAUUGACGGGGGCCCGCACAAGUGGUGGAGCAUGUGGUUUAAUUCGAUGCAACGCGAAGAACCUUACCAAUCCUUGAAAUCUAGCGAAGUUCGCAGAGAUGUGAAUGUGCCUUCGGGAACGCUAUGACAGGUGUUGCAUGGCUGUCGUCAGCUCGUGUCGUGAGAUGUAUGGUUAAGUCCAGUAACGAGCGCAACCCCUAUCCUUAUUUGCCAGCGCGUAAUGGCGGGAACUAUAGGGAGACUGCCGGGUGAAACCCGGAGGAAGGCGGGGACGAGGUCAAGUCAUCAUGGCCCUUAUGGAUUGGGCUACACACGUGCUACAAUGGGAAGUACAGAGGGACGCUAAAGCGCGAGCUGGAGCCAAACCCUUAAAGCUUUUCUUAGUCCGGAUUGGAGUCUGCAACUCGACUCCAUGAAGUUGGAAUCACUAGUAAUCGCGAAUCAGAAUGUCGCGGUGAAUACGUUCUCGGGCCUUGUACACACCGCCCGUCACAUCAUGGAAGUGGGUUGCACCAGAAGUGGUUAGUCUAACCUUCGGGAAGACGAUCACCACGGUGUGAUUCAUGACUGGGAUGAAGUCGUAACAAGGUAGCCGUA